GUUGUCUGUCAUUUAUUUCCAUGGCCUUGUGAACUCAUGGCAUCGUAUAUUGAGAGCUUAGUCAGCAGAAACAAAAAUAGAGAUAUUGAUUUAUCACUCUAAGUACAGUGUUUCAGAUCAGUCCAAUACCUGAGGUAAUUUUGUAAAUAGAAAGUUGUGCGCAAUUAGAAUUUAAAGCAAGAUUUAGCAUUCCGUGAAAAAAAACCUCCUUUGAUUUAUUUGCCGUUCAUCAAACCAGAAUGUCCACUACGUUUUGCCCGAUCAAGCUUUUUUAUUGCUCCUGUUUGCAUUUAUUGUUAUGCAGUUAUCUGGA